rnacentral:rRNA from 1 species
UUUAGGUAGCGCCUCGUGAAUUCAUCUCCGGGGGUAGAGCACUGUUUCGGCUAGGGGGCCAUCCCGGCUUACCAACCCGAUGCAAACUGCGAAUACCGGAGAAUGUUAUCACGGGAGACACACGGCGGGUGCUAACGUCCGUCGUGAAGAGGGAAACAACCCAGACCGCCAGCUAAGGUCCCAAAGUCAUGGUUAAGUGGGAAACGAUGUGGGAAGGCCCAGACAGCCAGGAUGUUGGCUUAGAAGCAGCCAUCAUUUAAAGAAAGCGUAAUAGCUCACUGGUCGAGUCGGCCUGCGCGGAAGAUGUAACGGGGCUAAACCAUGCACCGAAGCUGCGGCAGCGA